CUAUAAUCAGACAUAGGGAAGAGAGAGAUAAGGAGAGAGAGAGAGAGAGAGAGAGAUGGCUAUAAACUAACAUAGGGAAGAGAGAGAGAGAGAGAGAUAUGGCUAUAAACUAACAUAGAGAGAGAGAGGUGGCUGUAAACAGACGAUGGGAAGAGAGAGAGAGAGAGGUGGCUAUAAUCAGACAUAGGGAAGAGAGAGAGGUGGCUAUAAACAGAUGUAGGGAAGAGAGAGAGAGAGGUGGCUGUAAACAGACGAUGGGAAGAGAGAGAGAGAGGUGGCUAUAAUCAGACAUAGGGAAGAGAGAGCGAGAGAGAGGUGUCUGUAAACAGGUGUAGGGAAGAGAGAUAGAUAAGGAGAGAGAGAGAUGGCUAUAAACAGACUCGGGGAAGAGAGAGAGCGAGAUGGCUGUAAACAGACUCAGGAAAGAGAGAUAGCGAGAUGGCUGUAAACAGACUCAGGAAAGAGAUAGCGAGAUGGCUGUAAACAGGUGUAGGGAAGAGAGAGAGAGAGAUGGCUGUAAACAGACUCAGGGAAGAGAGAUAGCAAGAUGGCUGUAAACAGACUCAGGGAAGAGAGAGAGAUAGCGAGAUGGCUAUAAACAGACUCAGGGAAGAGAGAGA
ensembl:lncRNA